AUUCAAUUGUUUAUACCUCAGUGUGAGAUGUGUCAAUCAGUAGCAGAGUCCUACGCUGGAAAAAGCAUUUUUAUCACUGGUUGUACAGGAUUCUUGGGGAAAGUACUCUUAGAGAAAAUACUCUACAGCUAUUCCGAUGUUAAAAAAGUCUACAUACUUCUUAGAGGGAAGCGGGGAUUGACGGUUCAAGAGCGCCUUAAGACUAUGCUAGAGCUACCAGUAUUUUCAAGACUUAAUAGAGAGAAUGCGAAAUUUAGUGACAAAAUAGAACCGAUAGUCGGUGACGUAAGUCAGGAAGGUCUUGGUAUCUCCCCAGAAGACAAAGUAACGCUUAUUAAUGAGGUAUGUAUGUAUAGCAGUCGCAAUAAUUUAAACACUAGUAUAAAGACUGCAUUAAUAACCUGUUUACACCCGCAUCAGUCUAAUGGCUAGAAUGUUUGCCAAGAACGAUUUAAAAGAAAAAUUUGGUUUAUUUUAA